GACGAACGCUGGCGGCGUGCUUAACACAUGCAAGUCGAACGGUGAAGGGGAGCUUGCUCCCCGGAUCAGUGGCGAACGGGUGAGUAACACGUGGGCAACCUGCCCCAGACUUCGGGAUAACGCUUCGAAAGGAGUGCUAAUACCGGAUACGAACUCCUUGGGCAUCCUUGGAGUUGGAAAGUUUUUCGGUCUGGGAUGGGCCCGCGGCCUAUCAGCUUGUUGGUGAGGUAACGGCUCACCAAGGCGACGACGGGUAGCCGGCCUGAGAGGGCGACCGGCCACACUGGGACUGAGACACGGCCCAGACUCCUACGGGAGGCAGUAGUGGGGAAUAUUGCGCAAUGGGCGAAAGCCUGACGCAGCAGCGCCGCGUGAGGGAUGACGGCCUUCGGGUUGUAAACCUCUUUCAGCAGGGAAGAAGCGAGAGUGACGGUACCUGCAGAAGAAGCACCGGCUAACUACGUGCCAGCCGCCGCAGUAAUAC
rnacentral:rRNA from 1 species